UUAAAGAGAAGGGAGAGAAAUAAAGUAGGUGGUAUUUACUCUUUUGUUCGUUUACGGCAUAGAUGUUUAUUGAGGGCUUAUCAAGUGCAAAUCGGGUGACACCGCCGGUGCUGAGGCUGUAAAAACUGUUGUGGUACCUUUUCUCCUGGAGUUUAUAUACUAACAAAGAUGGACAGUAAACACUCCUAUAUGUCCUGGCUCCUCCCUUACCUCUUCGGAACAAUUCAUCAGAGCUGAGAGGCUGUCUCCACGGCUAUAGUCCUCACUCCACACAAAGGCAAUGUUGUCUCGCUAUCUGCUCCCUGCUGCACCCCUGCACCCAGGACACCCCUGGCCAACAGUAGGAGCUCCAUUGACAUUUGCUGAACUAAUGUCAGGAUUCCACUGCAGAGAGAGGGCAAAUGGAACCUCAGCAUAAUGAGGAAUGGGACAGAAUUGCUGACCUGGAGAAGAGGGCAAAGUAAGAUAUCAAGAGCUUCUGAGAGCUGGAAGGCUUGGAGGAAAAGUCAUUUGAGGGAUUUUACUGGAAGUCGGAUGUGUGACCUCUUUUAGUCACAGAAUGUUACUGCCGACAUUGCAGAUGUGAUGUGCAAACAUGCAUAUGCUUGCCUGGCAAGACACUGGAGCCAAAAAGGGUACAUCUGUCACCUCUGUUUGAAGCCACUCCAAGUAGUCCAAAUAUGCAUUUGGAGGCGCUGAGAGAAUUUUAUGUCUUGUUCGCGCUGUCAGAGGCAGUAGGGGAAAAUGUGUUGGGAAUAGAGAGCACAUACUAAACAGCCAAAUUCGUGCUGUUAGGUUACACGCAGGGUUUCUCUAGCUCGGAACUGCUGACAUUAUGGGUUAGACAGUUAUUUGUCAGCAAGGGGCUCCCCUGUGCAAAGGAUGGUUAGCUGGAAAUGACAGCCUCACCAGUUAUGACAACCAAAACUGUCUGCUGACACAGCCAAAUGUCCUCUGGGGUUCUGGGGGCAAACUCAUCCCUGGUUGACAGCCACUGAGUUAUCUGUGGUGCUAGUCCACUACCCCUCCUCCAUUUGCCACUCCCCAUACAUCUCCAAGACACACACACACACAUACUCUCUCUCUCACACACACACAAACAUACACAGUAGGAUAACCCUCUUAACCCCCCUCAAAGGAAGAAUCUUUUUUAAUACUGUAUUUUUUUUAACAGAGGUACUGGAGAUUAAACCCAGAACCUCGUGCAUGCUAAGCAUGCAUUCUACUGCUGAGCUAUACACCACCCCCAAGGGAAGAUUUAUUCCUUUGUGUACUCCCUCCGAAUGGGCCCUGGGAUUUCCUGAUGUCAUCAGUGAUCAACCAUUACAUUAGUAGCCUCUAACAAAGCACAUCUUUCCGGAUUGCUGCAAGAGUGUUGUUUCUGCCUACACUGAGUCUAGACUUGACCAUGUGACCUCCUUUAGCCAAUGGGACAUUAGCAGGCACAGUGAUACAAGCAGAGGCUUGUUAAACACUAACACAUUCGGGUUUGUCCUAUUGGAACAGUACUUUCUUAGCAGCCAGUGUCGUGUAAAGCCCAGGCUAGACUACUGAAUGCCCAGAGGCCAAGUGGAGAGAGGCACUGGUAGUUGAGAAGCCAUCUUGGAUGUUCAGGUGAUCUUCAGCUCAACGCAACCAUGAGUGACCUUGGCUAUACCAGGUGGAGCAGAAGAACUGUUCAGCUGAGCCCAGUCAACUUACAGGAUUGUGAAAAACAGGAAAUCUUUUUUUUUUAAGCCAGUAAGUUUUGAAGUAGUGUGUUAUGCAGCAAUAGACAACUGAAACAUUAACAAAUGUCUAAGUUGACAGUAAGAAAUUUUGCAGAGUUGGGGUGGACUCAUUAGCUCACAAGAGCAAACUUAAAUUUUCAGAAAUUUUCUGAGUCAAUUAUUAAAUAGUAACUUAUAUUAGCUUAGGUUUAAAUAAAUUAUAUUUUUAAAAGGUAAUAAAUACUCAAAAUCAUUUCUUAAUUAUUAUGCUAUAUUUUAGCAUUAUCUACACUCUUGAGGCUAUUUGUGUCUAUUGUAUCUAUGUGGUAAACAUACUAUGUAAUGGUAUACUAUUGCUCACCUCUCUCCAACUCUGCAUUUGAUGACAUCACAUUGGUAGCUUGAAAUUGGUGGUAGCAGGAGUAUUUACACCACAGAAAUUGCCAAAUGCUACAAACCAGGACUUUUUUGUCCAGAGAGCCAGUUGUUAAAUGUAUCCAUAUGUCACUGGUACUCUCCAUAGAAGGACUUAAAUAAAGGCACUUAUAAUAGCCAGGAUUCAUUAAGGAUGUUUACAUGUCAACUGCUGUUCUAAACUCUUCACAACUCCAUGGGGUUGGUACAGAGGUGGUUCUAGGCUGUCUUCACUUCUUGGGACAGUUCUGGCCGUGAUAGAGGCCAAGAGUCCUACACUCUCCUCCUCUCCCGGCCAUGUGGAAAGGCCGUAAAGAUGGCAAAAUUGCAGCCACUGCUCAUUCUGCCAUGGAAUCAGAGCUUCACCCUCUGGUCCCCUCCUUCCUGUAGUCUGGAGGAGGCCUUUCCGAACCCCUAGUCUAUGUGAGCAGUUUCUCACUGUAUGUGGGAAUGAUCUUGCUGCCUGUCAAGAUCAACACCGCAUUUCUCCCUCUGCUUUGAUACCGUGCCUUUUCAGCUGUAGGUGCCAAAUCCUUUUGAUUCCACAUGAAAUGCUGCCCUUGGUUGCUUUCAUGUAUGUUUUAUGAGAACCCCAGGCAUGAAUAUUUAUUGAGGCAACUUGGAGCACAUCCCUUUGAUUUUCCUUUUCUGUUCUGACUCAUGUUAAAAGGAGAGGGGGAGGUUCACUAUGUCAUAGCUCACCUGUAACAGCCUUUCCUUCCUAACCCCCUUCCUUACGAGGCCAAAGAGUCAUCUAGGAAAUGGAAAACAUUGCCUGGGUGUGUGUCAGUUAGCAGCAUGACACACAUUUCUGUUUUACUGAUGAAAUGGAACUCUUUCCUGCACAGCGUCAGCUCUCCCACACGAUAUAUCAACCCAUCCUUGUCAUCUAACUGUUAUCUGCUUGGAUUCCUUCCACGGUGACUGACUUGGUCGACCCUUCAUCCACAUUAAUAUUUUCUACUCAUUCAAAGACACUGUGAAGAGAAUGAAAAACAAGACACAGACUGGGAGAAAAUAUUUGCAAAACAUAAAUACAAAAAAAGGCCUGGGGGAGGGUAGAGAUCAGUGGUAGAGUGUGUGCUUAGCACGCAUGAGGCCCUGGGUUCAAUCCCCAGUACCUCCAUUAGAAAAAUAAAUAAAUAAACCUAAUUACCUCCCCCCUCAAAUAAAAAAAGGACAAAUGGGGUCAGAGUUUGACUAUGAUGCUGUCAACAGAAAACCAGUGCCCCCCCCCCAAAAAAGACCUAUAUCCAGAACAUAUAAGAACUCUCAAAACUCAAUAAUAAUAAAACAAACAGCCCAAUUAAAAAUUGGGCAAAAGAUUUGGGCAGACAUAUGCAGAUGACAAUCUCAUGAAGAGAUGCUGAACAUCAUUUGUCAUUCUAGAAAUGGAAAUUAAAAUCACCAUGAGGUACCACAAUACUCCUGGAAUGACUACAAUGACAGAGACUUAUCACAGAUGUGGAGCACCUGAAAGUAUCCUACACUACCCAGUAUUGGUGGGGAGGUAAAAUGACAACCAUUUGGAAAACAUUUAACACUUUCUUAAAAAGCUAAACCUAUACCUACCAUAUGGCCCAGCCAUUCCACAUCUAGGAAUUUACCCACCAGAAAUGAAAACAUAUGUUCAUACAAAGACUUGUACAGGAAUGUUCUUAACAGCUUUCUUUGCAAUAGCCUCAAAUUGGAAACAAUCCCAAUGUUCAUCAACAGGUGAAUUAUACCAGUAACUGUGGUAUAGCAAUACCAUGGGAUAUUACUCAGCAGUAUAAACAUAUGAACCGCUGAUACACCCAGUAACACGGUUGACUCUCAGAAUAAUUAUGCUGAAUGAAAGAAGCCAAACCAAAAAAGAGAGAGUAUCUAAGACCCAUUUAUAUGAUUUUCUAGAAAAUAUUAACUAAUCUAAGAGACAGAAAACAGAUCAGUGGUUGCCUGUGAACAAGGUGGGGUGGGGAUAAAAAGAAAUUGCAAAGAGGUAGGAGGAAACUUUUGGGAGUAAUGUUCAUUAUUUUGAUUACGGUGAUGGUUUCCCAGGAGUAUAUUUAUGUCAAAACUUACAAAAUUAUAUACUUCAAAUGUGGAGAGUUUACUGAAUGUCAGUUAUACCUCAAUAAAGCUGAAAAAAUAUAUAUGAAUGGGAUACAUCAUUAUUGACUAGGCAAUGAUUCAAGAAGGAACCAGCAAAUGGUCCACCAACUUGGGGUAUUAACAUUGGGAAAUUAUAAUGUGUGGGAGGUUAGUAGUCAUGGCACAUGUUGCCAGCCUGACCUUCAGACUCGGUCCAACUAAAUCCAAAGAUAAACGCAGUGUACGUGUUCAAAGACCUGUAAUAUGGAAACCUCUUGAUCACACAUCCGAAACUGAAUACGAUGGUCAUGUGGACUGUGACAACCUAUACAAGCUGAGCUGAUGAAGGCUGCUUGCUACCUAGUUAAGAAGCAGAAGUAAGAAGACUGCUUGAUACCUAGUAAGGACUGUAGACGUUCUAGGUGAAUUUUUAUAAAAAAGAAUUUAUCUGGCAUCAAAGCAACUGGCUGCUGACGACGUUCCUUUACUGGUGUAUAACUGGUAGAUUGGACACCAUAAUACUGGAGCCUCUUGAAGUUAGACUACGAAACUGAAACAAUUUUCACGACGAUGGUGAAAAGGUCAAGAAGAGAGGACUCUAUAAAAGUUCUUUUUGCACCCAAAUGUUUUUUAUAAAAGGAACCCUUUAAUUCUCAAUGCAUUUGCGUCCUUGCUUCUCUAUUAAGUUGAAUGCAUAACCCCUUAAUCCCUAAAUGCAGUGUUGAUCGGAAGCAGAGACUACAGGGGGAACUCACUUUUAUAGCU